rnacentral:rRNA from 1 species
GGAAUUUUGGACAAUGGGCGAAAGCCUGAUCCAGCAAUGCCGCGUGCAGGAAGAAGGCCUUCGGGUUGUAAACUGCUUUUGUACGGAACGAAAAGGUCUGCUCUAAUACGGCGGGCCCAUGACGGUACCGUAAGAAUAAGCACCGGCUAACUACGUGCCAGCAGCCGCGGUAAUACGUAGGGUGCGAGCGUUAAUCGGAAUUACUGGGCGUAAAGCGUGCGCAGGCGGUGAUGUAAGACAGUUGUGAAAUCCCCGGGCUCAACCUGGGAAUUGCAUCUGUGACUGCAUCGCUAGAGUACGGUAGAGGGGGAUGGAAUUCCGCGUGUAGCAGUGAAAUGCGUAGAUAUGCGGAGGAACACCGAUGGCGAAGGCAAUCCCCUGGACCUGUACUGACGCUCAUGCACGAAAGCGUGGGGAGCAAACAGGAUUAGAUACCCGGG